ACAUUAAAACUCCCAACAUUUGAUAGCACAUUAAAAGGGCAUCCAAACUUCUAGAUUUCCCAUUUUUUGUCCAUUGUUUUAAUAUUUAUAGAGCAGAUUUUAAGAAUGGCACAUGCCCCACAAUGAUUGUGAUUCAUCUGAAAGUUGUGUAUCCUAGCAACACGUGAAUAUUAGCCCACCAGUGGUGAGCAUGAGCUCAGAGGAGUCAAGAGGGCUCGUGUACCGCAGACUGAUGAGGAGCUGUUUACAUGUAAUCAUAGGCAGGUCUCUAAAGACACAAGCCUCGAGCUGCGCUGCAGAGAUGCAAUCACCUGUGCGAGCCUGACUAAAUAAAGGAUUAAAGAAAUUUCCAUGUGGUUUGUCUUGAAGUCAGGAGAUGAAUAACUACCAGGGUGUUCUUUACUGGACGGUGAACAUGCUGCGAUGGGAGCAGCCUACAAAACAGCACCACAAGCACAGGGCCUGGAGAGCAUCACUGAGCAGAGAUGUUUAUCUGGAGAACAAGAUCCUCCCUACAUCAGUCUGCCAGUAAAGGCAGUCAUGUACUGGACGUUAAAGAUAUGCUCCUCAGGUCUUAGAGUUCAGAAGAUGCUGCUCCAGCAGUGCUGUCAGACCCCAUUUCUCCUGCUGUCUCCCUCUGAAGCUCCUCACACAAACGCACACAUCCUCCGUUGUGGUGCCGCGGGGGAAAUGUGCCACACCGCCACUGAGCUGGAACCCAAAACUAAUUAUUCCCUUAAUCCAGCCAGAAGAGAGACGGAGAAAAAAUAAUUUGUGUAAACACACAGGCACUGCAUCACAGAGCAUUGUUAGAAAGACCUUGUUAAUAUCAUGUCUCGGAUUGUCCAUCUGGAGUUUGUGAAGAGCUUUUACAGGAAUUAAGGGGGAAAAAACAAGGCUUUACGAAUGAAGGACAUUAUUACGAAACAUUAUUAAGAAAUCAUUUUAUUUUUUAUUAAGAAUAAGGGAUCACUUUUGAGACUUUACCCAUCUUGAAUUACACUUAAGAGUUCUGGGCUUUUCUUAAAUGAAUUCACACCUUGAUUUCAGCUGAAUUAUAUGCUUACAGUAGCUGCAGUGCUUUUCAAGUAACUAUUAAUAAUUAAAGUGACCUGAGACUUUUUAAUAGACUAAUUAGCAGCUAGAUGUGAUAGAAAGAUAAAAAGCUAAUUAGAAGAUGCAACAUUAAAGGCUUCGGUGCUAUGUAUACUGUUUUUUCUUUAAAAAUAUUUUUGCCCUCUGUAGAGCCAUACAUCACAAUUCAAAAGGGUCAAAGAGGUCAUUCUACCUAUUGUAUGAUAUUUCCCACCUCCAGAUGAAUAUUUGUUGUUAAUUACACAGACUAUAGCCCACGAUGAGCAAUGCUCAUGUCAUAUUGAGAAUUAUCUAAGCAAUUUGCUUUUCUAUUGGCAUGGCAGCAACAUGAAUUCAUAAAAACCCCAUCUUAUGUGGUCCUAUGCUCUGGAUCUCUCUGCCUU
ensembl:lncRNA